AUGGCCCAGCAAGGUGACGAUGGUGACAUGAUGUUGAUGACUGAACUCGUGGACGAGGAGGAUCCAGUUCUUCGAGUGCCGGCUAAAGAAAUUGUCGCGCUCGUGGAAGAAAAAGUUCAUCUUCAUGAUCAUGAUUCGGAAACUCGUGUCGAUACUACAGAUGUGGGGGGUGAUUCCGAAACUUACGACGAUGUCAUGGGCAUAAUUGCUAACUUUGCUGGAGCGGAAGCAGCGAUUGCUGCAUGCGCUCGGCCAUGGAGAAGCAGUAUCCGUGUGACGCGUCCAGAAAAAUCAAAGACGUACGCCGCGCCGGAAGUCCACGAAGAAACAACAGACAAAAGUGCAACCGUUGUAACUUGUGUCGAAAGUAAUGACACUGGGGAUACGUCUUCUAGCACGAGCGUGAGGAUGGACCUGGGUAUAUCGAGUGGAUCCCUGUUGAUGAGCUCUAGCGCAAGCAUGAAGAAGCAUGGAGCAGAGAUCACGUCGUGGCUCGAAGGCGAUGGGCGCGGUAGCGUUGCAUGCAACCCAGGAACGGGCGCACCAGGCGAGCGCAUAACAGGCUCGUCGCCUCGUUACUCAGCCAUCAAUGUUCGACGCAGUGGUCCAACUGAUGGAACACACGUGGGAACCGAGCCAGAAACCGGAGAAGACCCGGCUGGACGUGGUUCAAGUGACCAGCAGCAGGGACGCAUCCCACUUGGGCGUGGUCCAAGAAAAUGCUGUAGCAUUAAGGAAGGACAGGGCUCACGUGGGGAUGUGCCUCAUGUUUCAUACAUGGUGGCACCUGAAAGUUUUCCAAGGGGAAAAGAUGCAGCGGUAGUAUCACUUGGUGGCCAACCAGCAAGCAAGUCUGCUACUCUACAUGUCAGCCCAGAAGCGAGCGUCAGUGGUGGCUCGCGGUUGCUAGCAGAGUUGUACGUGGAAGAAGAUGCCACUUCGGCACCUACAUUGCCUCCAAAAGCACUGGAGGAAAGGGCACCAUCACCUGCACCAAUACAUCUACAGCCAGUGUUACACCCAUAUCUGGAGAAUACUCUUCGGACGCUUGACCCGGUAAAGGUGAAAAGGAGUGGGCGACGGUGUCUAGUAAGCCCUGAGGAACCGAUGGAAUUUGCGGACGCAAAUACAAAGAAGUGUUGGCGUCAUGCUAUGGAAGAAGAGUUGGGGUCGAUCCAUGACAAUAAUACAUGGGAGCUUGUGGAUCUUUCCAACAAUGAAAAGGCGAUAGAGCUCAAGUGGAAAUUUAAGGUCAGGAAAGAUGUUGAAGGGUGCAUGAACCACAAAGUGAGGUUUGUGGCCAAAGAGUAUGUGCAAGAGGAAAGUAUGGACUUCGAAGAAGUGUUCGUUCUCAUUACAAAGAUGGAGUCGGUGAGAUUACUCAUCGCUCUCGCGGCUCAGGAAUCAUGGAAGAUACAUCACAUGGAUGUAAACUCCGCGUUUUUGAACGGCGAGAUAGAAGGAGAUGUGUAUGUGAAUCAACCGCCGGGUUUCAUCAAAGAGGGAGAAGAGCACAAGGUACUGAAGUUACACAAAAUCUUGUAUGGGCUAUGGCAAGGACCUCGGGAGUGGAACAUCAAACUUGAUCGGACAUUGAUUUUUCUUGGAUUUGAGAAAGCCCCACUAGAGCAUGCAAUGUACAAGAGAGGUGAAGGAAGGGAUCGUCUACUAGUUGGCAUCUACGUCGACGACCUAUUGAUUACUGGAGCAGAUGAAGAGGUGAUUGCAAAGUUCAAGUUACAAAUGAAGGAGAUUUUCAAGAGGGAUGAUCUAGGUCUUUUGUGCUUCUACCCCAGGAUAGAGGUACAUCAAAAGACAGAGGAGAUCACACUAUGCCAGGAGGCAUACACAAGGAAGAUACUUGAAAACUGUGGCAUGAAAGGUUGCAAUCUAAUUGAAGCUUCAAUGAAACCUCGUCUUGAACUGAGCAAGAAGAGUAAAGCACCCGCAGUUGAUGCAAUAGAGUAUAUUGCAGCUGCCACUGCGAUGUGUCAAGGUGUGUGGCUAGGAAGGCUGCACGGUGAUCUCAUGGAUCGAGAUCCGGAACAAGUGGUGCUCAAUGUUGAUGGAAAGUCUACAACUUUUCUACGCGAAGAACCAGUGCGGCAUGAUAGGAGCAAGCACAUUGAUACGGUGUAUCACUACAUAAAGGACUGCGUGGAAGAAGGUAAGAUGAAGGUCAACUACGUUUGCACCGAUGAUCAGAUGGCGGAUAUCCUGACCAAGAGUUUGGACCGAGAGAAGAUCUUGGAGAUGAGAAGAAGAAUCGGCGUCAGAGCUAUGACAUGA
rnacentral:rRNA from 1 species